AUGUACAAAGCAAUUUGAAUAACAAUAAGGGUUGCACAAAUAUUUACCCUCCACAGUAUACACACUCCAACAUAUGAAAAGAACAAAGGCAAGAGCACAGAAACUUGCUGCAAAUGGCAGUUGUAAAAGAGGAUCAUCUGGAUCACUCUUCAGCUGCAACAGCCACCAGCCUGAGAAAUGGAGCCAUCCCUCCCUCCUGAAGAGCCUGGGAUCCCUCCAUAUCCCACUUUUAUGCCAUAUGACUCAUUCGACACAUCAAAGACCCCAUCCUGGAUUUUCUUGUAGAUAGUUGCCGCA
rnacentral:misc_RNA from 1 species